rnacentral:rRNA from 1 species
GACGAACGCUGGCGGCGUGCUUAACACAUGCAAGUCGAACGGAAAGGCCCUGCUUUUGUGGGGUGCUCGAGUGGCGAACGGGUGAGUAACACGUGAGUAACCUGCCCUUGACUGUGGGAUAACUUCAGGAAACUGGGGCUAAUACCGGAUAGGAGCUCCUGCUGCAUGGUGGGGGUUGGAAAGUUUCGGCGGUUGGGGAUGGACUCGCGGCUUAUCAGCUUGUUGGUGGGGUAGUGGCUUACCAAGGCUUUGACGGGUAGCCGGCCUGAGAGGGUGACCGGCCACAUGGGGCCUGAGAUACGGCCCAGACCCCUACGGGAGGCAGCGGGGGGGAAUAUUGCACAAUGGGCGGAAGCCUGAUGCAGCAACGCCGCGUGCGGGAUGACGGCCUUCGGUUUGUAAACCGCUUUCGCAUGUGACGAAGCGUGAGUGACGGUAACGGGUAAAGAAGCACCGGCUAACUACGUG